UUAAUGUACAAAUUCUCCUUAGCCACUAUCUAGAAUCUAUAAAAGGACAAGCAUCAAAUUUGGCCAUAAUUUGUCAAGAAUUUUAUUUAGUGAGAUGAAGCUUCCAGGGAUAUCAAAUAGUUUAAAUAUUUUAAUUUCAAGGGCAAUGGUUUUGCUUUGUUUAUUUUUUUAUAUUGAUCAAUCAAAUGCAGGGGAUUAUAAGUCUAGAUAUAUCAAAAUAAGAUUUAGAGAUGCAUAGAUGUAAAUUUAGAUAGACAAAAAUUUAUAUGGAUAAACAGCUAGAUAUGUGUAUAGUUUUUUACUAAUACUUAAAAAUGUAGGAGCAUGAUGGGGAAGCUUUCCUUCCUUUUACAUAUCAGCCUUGAAGUGUUUAAGAUCCUUGGUUAGGAUUACUAAGAGAAAAAUUUCAGAACUGAUAUCCAACUAUGGUUAAUUUGGCUCCAAACUCUUGCUUGUGCCCUGCCAUCUCUGGACACUCUCUUUGUCUCCCAAGAAGCAAGCUCUAACUAUUUUGAGAAUAUCAUCCAUAUUUUCUUUCUGUUCCAGGGUCCUAGGUAUAUUAUCUCAUGAGUUGUUUUUUUCCUUUAUUGUCAUCUAGAGAGUGCAUACGUACGUAUUAAUGGUGGCAGUUGGGCAGGGCUCAGUUGCUACACAAAAGACUCAUAGGACCAAAAUAAUAAUUUUUACAAAUCUGUGGUUUGUUACAAGGAAAUUAUACUACAUAGCAACUUGUUUCUUAAGAAAGAACAGUAAUCACAUUGAAAAGCUAUUUCACACCAAGAGUUCAGAGAAUCUGAGUAUAGUCUCCAACCAUCCCUUGGAGGGGCACCAUGAUGUGCUUUCUCUUUUGGGUCAAGACCACCAUCUCAUACAUACAUGGAACCCCAUGAAAGCAGGGAGUCCAGUAUAGAGUAGAGGCUCAGAUUUCUUAUAUCCUGUAGAUCACGUAGGCUUGAUUUUACUAUGUAGUUUGCCCCAGUGUCAGCACCUUCUUAUAUAUCUCACAGAGGCACCUAUAAAUCCUCAAUCCCUGUUAUCAAUAAACUAUGUUGACAAACUUAAACCAAUCUUUAUACAAAUGGUUAUAAGGUAACAAUUAAUGGAAAGGGUGAUGCCUUGAUGAGGAGUUGAUGUCACAGGUACAUCCAUUAUUUCAGUAAAAUGGCUUAGUGCAACUCCAGAUCUACUAGAAGUAACUCUCAUGGCACAAUAUAUAUCAUAAUAAUCAUAUAGUGUCUUUAAACACUUUUUAGCUGAUACUGUGCAACUCAACUAAGUGUGUAAAGCUGAUUAUUUCUGUCAGAUCCCAAUCUACCAGUUUGUCCCAGUCCCUAAGAUUAACAUACCCAAUAAUCAUGAGACUCAUAUAUAUGAUUUCUUAUUUUAAUUUUAAUACAUUUAAUUUUAAUACAUUUUCUUAUUUUAAUACAUGAGUAUUUUUAUAGAAAUUGUCUAGCUUCCAGCAUUUUAUCAGCCAGUCCUUUCCCUUUUUUUAUUUUUAUAUGAAAUGUUAUUUGGUACUUCCUUGCAUAGAUUAUGGAAUAUGAAACUGAAACACACUGAGGCCAACCUUUAUUUGUGAAGUAGUGUUGCUUGUUAGUAAGAAUGAUGAUAAGAAUCAGAUUUUCUAUCUAGAUUCCCAGUGUUUUUCUCAAAUGGAAGUAUCAAUACCUGUCCAGUUGACACAUGGAUAAUAUUUUCUUGGAAACACUAAUUACGCAUAGAUCAAAAUUAACAUAAGAAUUUUAAUUUAAGUGAUUAAAUAUGCUCCCAUAAAUUUAUUUAAUCUUUUAAUUUGCAGGGCCAAUCUUCUCUAUUAUCAGUAAAUAUGUUUAGCUUCUGGAAAAGUAUUAGAAGCUUCAGUUGUUAAUAAAUAUUUACUAACAUAUUUGUUGAUUACCUAUUGCGAGUCUCAUUUUCUCUGCUAAAUGCUUCUUAACCUGGUGUCUAUUGCAUUAGCUCCCCCCCCCAUAGGGGUACAUAAAAUAAUGGCAUUGUCUUAGAGUAGAUGAUACCUUAGUUUCAUGAAAUACAUAUAUUUAGAAGGAGUUUCUGAUGUUAGUGAGGCCAGACCAGGAUGUUAGUUGUGUUUGACAGUUUAGUCACAGUUAACUUUUCCUAAAAUUCACUCAGCCUCACUCAAAAACUAAUGUUCUCUGUGACUUUUUACUCUGCCUCCUCUCGAUCCAUUCUAAUACUAUGAUAGAUUGAAUUAGUGUUCACAGUUAUCUGGCCCCCUCUCCGUAGACACAAAGGCGUGUUCCAGUGUAGUCCAUACUAAUCAACCUGCAGCUCUAACAGGUUACCAGGAUCAUACAAUUCUGACCACUACCGUGUGAAUUGCCUCAACUCCUAUUGAAAUCAGCCUUGGCCAUAUGACAUGCUGGGACGACAGAAUGCAAGCUGAAAUGAUGUACUUUCAGUAUCAUUGCAUUCUUUUCCAUUACCUUUUUUCCCUCUGCCACAACAAUUGCAUGACCCAGCUGAGGAUGAUUCCUUUAUCCUGUGUCCAAGAAAAGACUUUUGGGGCAUGUUGGCAGCUGGCUCAAAGCAAACAUAAAAGCAAGAAAUAACUUUACGUGUCAGCCACUGAGAUUCGGGAGUUGCUUGUUUCUACAGAAGAAUUUAAUGAAGAUUGACUAAUAAGAAUUCAUGUACUAAAAUAUUUAUCUUUUCCUACUUAUAUGUUAGGCAGUUUUAGCAUUCUGAAAUAGAGUGGUUAACAUGACAGGCAACCCCUUCAUGUAGCUUAUAUUCUUGAAGGAGAAACAACAAUAAACAGAAAGAAAUAAAAUAAAAAUACUAUUUCUGAGAACGUUAGGUGCUAUUGGUAAUGUAGAGUAAAGUAUCUGUGGAACUAAGUAGUGACAGGAAUUGAAUAUGAUGAUAAGGAAGACACUUCUACAAUGCAUAAAUUUUGAACUAAAAUCUAAAUAACAAGAAGAAAUAAACAAUACAAAUAUCUGAGAGCACAAGCAUCUAGGUAGGGUUUACAGAAAAUAAAAAGACUAGAAAGCAGGGAUGGGACAUAUUAAAAGAACGGGAAAAAAAAAUCCAGUAACCAUAGCAUGUGAUGAGCUAGGAAGGCCAUGGUAGAAAUGUGUUUGGAAAGGUAGCAGAGGCCAAGUUACAUCAAGCCUUGGGUUCAGGAACAGGUGUAGAGUCUAUUCCUAGGUGAGUCUACAAUAAUCCACUCAUAUGUGUAGCAUGCUUUUGAUAUAUAACACAUCAGUGCCAUCAGUGAUACAUUAAUUGAUUUCAUUCAAAUCGUAUUUCCUGACCUGUUUGUUUCCUCUGAAUUUCAUUGUCACCUUGGUUCUUAUCUCUUAGGGUAUGCCAAUGAUAUGAACUUGGGGAUUCCUUCUAAACUACAGUACACCUUCACUCCUCUGACAAUAUCCCUUUUUAUCACUUCACACCCCAGUUCAAUCUAACCUCACCUCAUUGGACCUUCUCAGGUGCCAACCUCCCUGUGGUUAGCAAGCCUGCCUGAUGAGUCUUUUUUUCUUCUGAGAAGUAAAUAUAAAAGUUGUUAUUUUGUUAUUUUUUAUUUAAAUGUUUUCAGUCAAAUUCAAGGUUUUAUUCAGAGAGGUAUUCUCUGGAUGGUGGAGAAUCAGUACCUACAUUAGUUUUAGGACCAAUUAUAAAAAAAAAAAAAAGCUAUCACCCCUGUCUUCUGCUUAUGAUUACAAUGAAUUAGAAUCAAAUUUCUGUUAGCUCAGGGCAUAAAAAUAGCUAAACCUUGGCACCAAGGUGGCUCAGUCAGUCAAGUGUCCGACUUCAGCUCAGGUCAUGUUCUCGUGGUUGGUAUUGGUGAAUUAACCUUGGAUGAUGUUCAGAAUUCUCAGAAGAAAAGUUUGAAAAUAGUUUUGAAAUACAAUAUUAUCAGAUAGUACUACCUAAAGCACACUGUCAGAUCCACUUUCAGAUCUCUUUCCACUCUCAAAACAACAGAUUAAAGUCCUUUAAACUGCAGAAGUAUUAGAUCACUGCCAAUUUAUCAACAAAACAAAGUAAGGAGCCUCUUGCAAACAAUCACCUCAUAAUUUUUCUUAAAUAACUGAAGAAGCAAGUUGUGAGCUCAGCUACUAUGUAUGCAAAAGACUCCUGCAGAUGACCAGAGAAUAGAGAUGACAGGCAGCAGUGAAAUGUGGCACAAAAAUCUGUCUCUGGGACCAUUCGAAGAGUUCUGAAUCACAACUUCGGCACCUGUUAGUGGAGUAGUCUCAGGCAAGUCACUUAACAUUUCUGAACCUUGCUUUCUCUUUAUAAAAUAAAGAAAAUAGAAUCUAUUAGGAAGAGUUCUUUUUAGGGUCUAAGAUUAUAUUCCCCCCUAGGAAUAGUGGUUCAGCAUUCCUAAAUUUUAUGUUCAUGGAGACUUUAUAGAAUAAAACUACUAUAAAUAAUGAAAACUAACUAUAUCUGUGUGUGUUUGUGUCUUUGUGUUUGUAUGCCACAUUGACAAGAUAUUUUACAGCCACAUAAUGGAACACUGUUCAGCUGCAAAAAAGGUACAGAUUAAAUGCUCAUUACCUAUAGACACAUGCUCAAAAACAUUUUGCUAAGUGAAAGAAACCAGACAUAAGAAACUACAUAUUCUAUUAUCACAUUUACAUAAAAUACCCAGAAAAGGCAAAUUUUUUGAGAUUAAAAGUAGAUUAAUGAUGGCAUGGAGCUGGGGGGCACGAGUGGGGAUUAGCUGUAAAUUGGCAUGAGAAAAUUUAUUGCAGAGAAGGAAAUGCUCUAAAAGUGAUUUGUGAUGAUGGUUAUACCACUCAAAGUUAUUAAAAACUAUCAUAUAAGUGUACACUUGAAAUGUUUGAAGUUUAUGAUGAUACCUGUUAUAUAUCAAAACUGUUAUAAUAAGGAUGACUCAUUUUUUAACUAUUUUAUUCUUGGGGUAGACCUAGCUUGUAAUCACCUCCUUGAGUCCACAAACUGUUUUUCUUAGUUUUUGAAACUGUAUUGAUUGAUUGCUAUGCUAUACAUCUCUCAUCCUACCUGACUUUCUACAUCACUAUUUCUUCCCAUUACUAGCACAUUUGAUGCCAAGGGCACUGUAGUGCUUUAAAGUCCAACACAGACCUAACAAUUUGAUGCUGUCUGUUAUCAUCUUAUUCAUGUAUCAGUUCACUCAAUAAUCAUUGCCUGCUGUGUUCCAGCACAAUGCUAAUCACUAGAUAUGGAAUGUUAACUAAAGCCAGCAUAGAACCUAUCCUCUUGGAAUUUAUUGUGGAGAAGCCUUUUCAUUCUAGAUUAGGCUAGAAUGGUUCAUUGCUCAAGAAAUUGGAAUAAUAUAUCUAAUUCCUUUCUAGCCCACACAUACACUCUAACAAAAUUGAGUUUUCACUCCACUUAAAUAAUCAUUUUGAGAUGAAAUGGACUGAAAAGAAAAUGAUAGUGAUACCAUGAAUUUCUCAUUCAGUGAUCUUCCACCACUGGACCUAAGCAGAACUUUCUGCGUUUUCUGCUUUCUUUAUGUUAGUAAAGCUGGCAGAGGUUGUGAUAGGACUAUUAUUUGGCUUUUGGACCUCAAAUGAUAACAUGAUUCUGUUUCUUUUCAAGGUUAUAUUUGGACUCAAAGCAUCAUCUGGAGAGGUAAACAGGUUGCUGCUUUAGCUCCUUGCUUACUAAGAUUCAGUCUUUGAUAGUGCUUUCCAUAGAGACACACAUAUAAAAAUUCUUUCAUUCAUCACAAGAUGAUUUUUAUCUCAUCCAUCCUGCCUAAGACUGUUGAACAGUUUUGCUGAUACUGCCUAGGUUAUAAACACAGAUUACUGGAUACACAAAUCAAUUUCUUGCUCUAAAAAUUAUAAAUUUAGUCCAUUAUAUUGCUUAAAAUGCUACAAAAACAGAAUCAACGAUUGUGAUAUCCUUCUCAUUUCCUUGGAAAUAUUUGUAGAUCUACAGAUCAAGAUACAGAACAAUCCCUGUGAAUCACAUUUGUUUUAACAGCAUUUUCACAAAUUCAAAGGCAAGAAUAUCAUCCUGCUAUUGUACUUGUGGAAAGGUCUGCCAUGCCAUAUAAUUGUUCUUGUUAUGUUUUCUUUUAUCUCAAAUUUUGCUUUCUGAUAUAACAUCUGAGCAUCUCUUACUUAGUAGUAAUUACCUUUGUUUCAGAAAAUUCAUGAGAUUUGCACUGCAUGAAAUAGCUUCUAAUGAAGCUAUUUUCCUUCUGUUCGUGAAAAUCUAUAGGUACCUUUGGGCUCUCAGAGGAGGUGUCUAAUGCAGUCUGCUGUUGUGAUCAAACUACUUUUCAAGGUGGCUGUACCAUUUUUGCAUUCCUACCAGUGAAAACUAUGGAAUUCUCAGCACAUAAAAAAAAUCUUCCCAACGUCUGCACUAAAUAAUGGCAGAGUAAAUAAGUUUUAAAAUCUCCUGACCUUCUUCCCUUUUUAAAAGUCCCUAUCUUAGGUACGUUAUGAGAUAUGGCAGAGAUAAUAUCCACUUUUCUUAUCAAGUACUCUUAGCAAGAUAUAUGACCUCCCGUACUAUAUAACUAAUCAUAUUUUUCAAAACUCCUUGUAGGUAAGAGUAAGCAUGUACCUAAAUUCUGUCCAAUGUUAUGUAAGCCAAGGUGACAUAUCAGUUACUUACCUCAAGAGAUAUUUUUCCUUUCUUCUUGUCCCUCCAUUUUGCUACCUCUAAAAUUGAUGCAACAUCUUAGAUCAUCUAGUUUAGAACUAUGUUUUAGGAUUGCUGGAGUGAUUAUCUGUUGUUUCUUGAGAAUAUUCUAAAGUAGAGUCACCAUGUUAACCUUGGAUGGCUUGCCUCCAGGUUGAUUUCAAUGAUAAAAAAAAUAUCAAAAUAAACUUCUAUACUGUUUAAGGCACUGCUAUAUAUUUAUGUUACUCACAGAUAACCUCAGUUUGGAAUUUUAGGAAUAAUUGAAGGUAAUCAUUACUCUUAAAAUAAGGGAAAAUAAAUUCACUUCUCAAAGCUAAAGUACCAAAACAGCAUAAUGAAUCUUAGUCCAAAGUAAAUGUUAAUGGACUUUACUCAUCAGAACUGGAAUUUUAGGAAAAGGAAAGUCAUAGAGGCAACCACUGGCAUAACUAGGGGAAUCUAGGCAAAUAACAGACAGUGGUGCAAAUAAACUAGAACAUAGAUUAUAUGUAUAUUGAUAAAAGAACAACAACAAACAACUAAAUUAGCCUCUUUGAGUCAUUUAUUCUUAAGAUGUUUAAAAGUUUCACCAUGGUUGGAUUACUGGUAAAACAGGGUUGUAACAUCUAUCACGUAAGGAAAUGUUUUCUACCUAUUAUCUGUCAUCUACUCAUUGUCCUUAGCACAAUGCUUAGAAUAUAAUAAGUUCUUAACGUGAAUCACUGUUAUAUUUUUUACUCAAUGUCAUCCUGUGUUCCUUUUUUAGUAACACUACAAGAUUCAUGGUUUUAUCUCUUAGGAUACUUCGAACUCUAUAGUGACUUACAAAUUUGAAUGAUCAAAAUAAUUACUAUAAAAUUUAAAAGUCCUCUCUUCUUCAUUUUUUGCUUUUAAUAUUACUGAGAAUGCCUUAAUGGGAUUAAAAAUAACAUGAUUUUUAAAAAUUAUGUGCUAUUUCUUAAAACACUCUUAUGUACAAAUGUAACUGAGACUUAUAAAGUUUAUGUUUGUAGCCUAAACUCCCACAUUAUUUUAGUUCAGAGGUACAUCCGCAGACUCCAAAUAGUUUAGUUAUAGGCAGCUGUAUUUACUCUACAUCACACUCUGUUUCCUUACUUUCCUUCUUAAUAUAUUUCUUGAAGUGACAUUUUUAAUAAAUUUUCUUUUAUGUCAGAAAAUACAAAAUUAUUGGGUGUCAUUUUAGUAAGAGCAUUUACAAGUUUGCUUUUCUUUAACUUUUUUAUUCUUCUUAAAUUCUCAAGUCAUUGUGUAUAAAAAAAAAUGAAGAGGCAUGUAAAUAUAUAAGGAUUCCUGUAAAUAAGUGUUCUUACUGCAUACUAGACAUGGUUUGCCAGAAGGGAUUAUUUUUAAGAUAGAGAAGGAUAGUAAAUAAUAGUGGCAGUUCAAAUUUUGUACCAAUUUCACCUUCCAUUAAAACUGCAUUAUUAUAUUUAUAUGAUUUAGUGGAAUUGUCUUGCUGUAAAGAGGCAAACACUCUUCGAUGGUUAGACUCUGGCUGUGGUUGUCAGCUUUAACCACUCAGAUGACUAUGGGUUGUAUAGAAGCCAAUAUAUCAUGAUCUGUUUAAAUCACUAUUAUUUCCAUAGCAUUUCUGCUAUGAGAGUUUGCUGAAGCUUGGGGAAUAGGAAACUUAAAUAAGCUGAGAACAAGUUGAAAAAAUGAAGUCAUUUUCAUUUCUAUUGUCUAACCAAGUGAUAUGGAUAUCCCAAAAUUAAUAUUCUGAUUGAAAACACUUGAUGUUUAAUCUUUUUCCCCCACAUAGAGAAAAAUACAUUGAAAUUUCAAAGAAAUAUUCCCUUGAUAUUUAUUUUUAUUAGAUUCAGCACUGGCUAGAAUUUAGGAAGCCUGGGGGUGAAAAAAUAAAUUUUAUGAACUAUAAGCUAUAUCUGCUAAAUAACCUAGAGCUACUUCAUAUGUUUUUCACUGUGAAAAUAGUAUUUCUGAAGUUGUCACUAGUCUAGAACUUACAGGCUUACUUUGAAAUUCUUCCUUUUAAACAGACAGUGUAGAUCCAGGCAAAGAUAUGGUAAUAUCCAUUAAAACAUGUUACAAAUGUUUAGAAAGUAUACAUUGAAGGCUUUAACAUGAAACAAUUGCUGCAUUAUAGUAUUAAUAGUAAUGUUAAAAGACAUUUAAGAUAAGAAUUACAAGAGUAUUUUGGCCAUUUAAAGUAUUUUUGAAACCAGAAAAAAGCAUAUGAUUAUACUUCUCAUGUAGGGUUGUAUAUGAGAUUUCAAUUGUACGUUUAUUAGCUCUUAGUCAAAUCUCUUUGCUCUUUAUAGUAAACUAUCAAGAUAUUUACUAAACUAGUUCAUAGAACUAAAUACUUAAUAACUAUUAUCUCAUUUAGUCACGUAGCAAAUAUACCUUUAUCAUAUAAUUCCUAGGAAUCGUGGCAGUGAAUAAUAAAAGGUAGUUUUAUAAAUCUUGCUUAGUUGGCAAGAAAGAUAAUAAACACAUAAACAGCCAAGUAAGACUAAUUUAUGUACUUACAACUGUUAUGGCACAAAUAAAUGUAUGCAUAAAGGCUUACAAUAAAACAUGCAUGUCUUUAUUUACCAUGGAUCAUGGUAAAAAUUUUAAAAAAUCACCUUUUCUAAAAAGUGUUAUUUAUAGAUUUUAAUAGAUUUAAUGUAUUAUUCCAAUAAUGUACUGCAUAUACAAGUAUUAUGACAUUCCUUGGAAAUGAUGUAAUUCAUCUUAAACAGAUAAAAUAAUUAGCCAAUACUUAUUCUAAUUUAUUUAAUACUUAAUGCAAUUAUCUGGAUUUUAGUUUGGCAAUUUAAUCCAUGGGAAUAUAUUAAAGUUUAUUGAGGAAAAGAGCAAAAGAAUGAAACCCUUCAAUAGUGAGCACAGAACAAAUACUUAUAUUUUCUCCCCUCUAUCAUACUGUUUUGUGAAAAAUUUGUAUGUAUUUGAUUUGUGGAGUUUUCUUCAGGGCAGGACAAUUAUUUCUUGUAGGAAAUAUC